rnacentral:rRNA from 1 species
CCUUAGCCCGGAGAAGAGCCUUGCCCCUUGGACCCCUGGAUUGCAGUAGCUGACAAGAGCAAGUAUGUGAAUCUACAGACUCUCAAAUUGCAGGAAAACCCUGAGGAUGUUCCAACUGGUGAGCUUCCAAGGAAUGUGCUGCUUUCUGUAGACAGACAUCUUGUUCAGACAAUUGUUCCGGGGACUAGAUUAACUAUCGUUGGCAUCUACAGUCUAUUCCAAGCAUCUGGGACAAACAACCAGAAAGGUGUUGUUAGAGUUAAAUAGCCCUACAUUAGAAUUGUGGGGUUAGAGCAGUCUCGAGAUGACAACACAAAUGGCCCCUCACAUUUCACACUUGAUGAGGAAAUGGAAUUCAAAGAAUUUGCGCAGAGGCCGGAUGCAUAUGCCAAGAUUUGUUCAAUGAUUGGCCCUUCAAUUUAUGGUCAUGGUGAUGUCAAGAAAGCUAUUGCGUGCCUCUUGUUUGGGGGAUCAAAGAAGAGGCUACCAGAUGGUGUCCGUUUGAGAGGGGACAUUCAUGCCUUGCUUUUGGGUGAUCCAUCCACAGCAAAAUCGCAGUUUCUGAAGUUUGUAGAGAAGACUGCACCAAUUGCAGUCUAUACCUUUGGAAAAGGUUCAUCUGCAGCCGGUCUUACAGCAUCUGUAACCCGGGAUAGUAACUCGCGUGAGUUUUAUUUGGAAGGAGGGGCUAUGGUGCUGGCUGAUGGUGGAGUAGUUUGUAUUGAUGAAUUUGACAAAAUGAGGCCUGAAGACAGGUAA